rnacentral:tRNA from 1 species
UCUCCGUUCGUAUAACGGCUAGUAUGGCCGCUUGUCAUUUCGGAACACGCGGCAGAUCAGAGUUCGAUUCUCUGACGGAGAG